rnacentral:tRNA from 1 species
ACUAAUGUAGUUUAGAAAAACAUUGGCCUUGUAAGCCAAAAAGCGGAGGUUAAUACCCUCCCAUUAGUC